rnacentral:rRNA from 1 species
AUACGUAGGUGGCAAGCGUUGUCCGGAAUCAUUGGGCGUAAAGCGCGCGCAGGCGGUCCUUUAAGUCUGAUGUGAAAUCUUGCGGCUUAACCGCAAGCGGUCAUUGGAAACUGGAGGACUUGAGUGCAGAAGAGGAAAGCGGAAUUCCAUGUGUAGCGGUGAAAUGCGUAGAGAUAUGGAGGAACACCAGUGGCGAAGGCGGCUUUCUGGUCUGCAACUGACGCUGAGGCGCGAAAGCGUGGGGAGCAAACAGGAUUAGAUACCCUGGUAGUCCACGCCGUAAACGAUGAGUGCUAGGUGUUGGAGGGUUUCCACCCUUCAGUGCUGCAGCUAACGCAUUAAGCACUCCGCCUGGGGAGUACGGCCGCAAGGCUGAA